rnacentral:lncRNA from 1 species
UGGCGAUUUAUUGGUAGAAAAGGUACAAGGGGGAACACGAAGUCAUCGUAUUUGAACACGGUGAAUAGUUUAGCGUAUUCAACUUUAAAAAACUUCACUUCCAAUGUAGCACUUGCGUGGCGCUCACGUGGCAGAGAUAGAAUCAGUUUUACAAAUAUAAAUUUUAUGAGGCUAUUUGUAAAAAGAAAUUGUUAAGGAAUUAAAUGCAAAAAAAA